rnacentral:rRNA from 1 species
AGAGUUUGAUCAUGGCUCAGGAUGAACGCUAGCUACAGGCUUAACACAUGCAAGUCGAGGGGAAACGACAUCGAAAGCUUGCUUUUGAUGGGCGUCGACUGGCGCACGGGUGAGUAACGCGUAUCCAACCUGCCCACCACUUGGGGAUAACCUUGCGAAAGUAAGACUAAUACCCAAUGACGUCUCUAGAAGACAUCUAGAAAGGGAUUAAAGAUUUAUCGGUGAUGGAUGGGGAUGCGUCUGAUUAGCUUGGUUGGCGGGGUAACGGCCACCAAGGCUACGAUCAGGUAGGGGUUCUGAGAGGAAGGUCCCCCACAUUGGAACUGAGACACGGUCCAAACUCCGUACGGAGGCA